UUUGGAGACCCAAAAACUCCUUCUCCUUCAAUUACAUAAACAAAAGAGUUCCAAGAUUCUGGAAUAAUUUGAUGAAACUGAGAUCCAGGUUUCAUUGAGAAAUCAAGGAACAUGGUUGGAGUUGUAGUGUAGACAGGUGAAUGGAUUCCCAUUGCUUCUCCUGCUAUUACUCUCACUUCAACACCAUCUUCUUCUGCUGAUGGAAUCUUCUCACUUACAACUUCUUGAUAGUUAGGUUCAAUCCUUAACCAAAAGACCAAGAGAAAAUAAUAUAAUGUCAAAUAGUGAUCAAUGAUACAAAACUUGGAAACGUUGAGUGAAACAUGAUAUAUAUAUAUAUAUAUUACAUUUUGUUAUUUGCUGAUAAAUUGAUCCAAAGUUGCAAUCCCUUGUUGGUUGCUUCUGCAGGCAUUUCAGAAUGAAUUAUUCCUCUCCCUGCAGUCAUCCACUGACCAAAAAAGAAACACAAUAACACUCUUAAGUCUCUAAUUAAUAUUUAUCCUUUUGAAUCAUUAUGUUAAUGUUGCGUUGUUACCUGAACAUCACCAGUUCUUAUAGUACCCUCGUGCCCAGCAAAAUCUUUGUGAGUAAUGCCUCCCUAAAAUCCAAAUCAUAGGUUCCUUAAUUUCUAAAUACAAUUAAGUUAGCCAUUUAUACAGUGAAAAUGUAACUAUAUACAUAUAUGUGUACCUCUAGCAUGUAGGUGACAGUCUCAAAACCUGCAUCAAUACAUAAAAUAAAAACAUUAGGGUAAAGAAAAAAACAUAUAUAGCCAAAAAGUGUAGGAUUAUAUGAUUAUAUGAUGAUAUGAUUGAGUUAAAAACCUCUAUGUGGAUGAUCAGGAAACCCUCCAGGAGGAGAUACUGCAACGUCAAACACACAAACCAGGAAUAAAAUACUAUAAAAAUAUAAUACAGAUUGAAAAAAGUAAGGGUUGAAGCAAUAAGGUCAGAAUUGUACCUGAGAAGUGAUCCAACAUUAUAAAGGGAUCCAAGUUCUUCAACUCACUUCUGAGAAUCAUAAACCAAUCAAAUUACAAUAAAUAUAAAUAUAAAUAUAUAUACUCAAACAUAUUAACAUAUAUGAGAACACUUAGUUUGACUUAUUUAAUUGAUAUAUAGAUCCUGUGAUAAAGUUAUAUAUCCAAAUUUAUUGUCCUCCCAUAUGAAUGGAGAACUAAUCUCAUUAAUAGUCAUUAACAUAAAGAGAGCAACCAAAAUAAUAUGACAUGAAAGGAUGUUUAUUAAAUAAAUUCAUGAUAGAAAUAAGUGGAAGACUGAAUAUAUAUACCUUCCAAUGGCUCUUCUAACAACAGCUCCAACCCCUUCAUGUUGAGAUUUGGCUAAAACCUUCUUGAGAACCAAUCUGGGCUUGUUAAAAGCUGGGGAAUAAUCUGACUGAGACAUGAUAUUUCUACAAAAAAUGUAAGUGCAAGUAAUCUUCGGGUGUUAAUAAUUAUGCUAGAAUUGAGGAACAGGGAAAGGGGUGUCUUAUAGCUCUCAAAAGUUGUUGUACUUUGCGUGUCUUUCACACCAUUCAAUGUUUGCCCAAUUGGGUUCUGCCACGCCGCCUGCAACUCCAACCUUCCCCCUCUCACAUACAUGAUUAGAGACGAACCGAACCUACUAUGCGAUGGGGACAAACUUGCUAUGCCUCUACAAUGCACACUGUCAAGUCACUAUCAACCACUGGAUAGAUGACAUGUCGCCAUAGUAUUUACUAUAAAUAGAGAAUGUCCUCUUACAUGAAGCAUUCACAUUUUCACAUUCUCCUACAUCAUAAAUAUUCACUCACACUCAUAAGCAUCUUAACUCUCUCAUUCAUUACUAGCUUUUACUCCCAUCUACUCUCAUUCAUUCUCCAUUAAUUCUCCUUAAACUCAUACUGACUUAAGCAUCGAAGAACCUUUUCAGGUACCUCCACUAGCAAUCCAAGCCUCAUUCCAGUCAGCCUCUAGAAACAGGAUACUCAACUAGAUUCCCCGUUCCGGCCUUACCCGAUCAACACUAAAAACAUAUAUCAUUCAUCAUUCAUUUGUAUUUCUUUUGAAGAGUAAAUAAUGAUUAAACAUGAAUGAGAAAUGAUGCAUUUACAAUAUAUAAUAAACUAUGAUUAUAUACAUUUUUUCUCUAAGAUAUUUCUGCAUUAAUAGUAUAAACUAAUGAAACAGUGGAUUUGAAAAUCAAAACUGAAUGAAGGAUUUAUGUUAAUCAUGGGAUAUAAAGUUCCUUAAUUACCAGGCAAGAAGUAGCUUUCCUUAGAGAAAAUGGUGGUUGAGCAAGUAUCACAAUAAACAGUACCCACCACAUUAAUCUUGGAGAUAGUUGAAGAUUGAGCAAUAAGCACAAAUGGGUAACUGAAAAAAGAUGUAAGAAGAGUAAUGAAUAUAAUUGGAGCCAUUAAAGGAAACUGAAAAAUGGGGUGAAGAAACUUGUACAAAAGAAGAACAUGUAUAUGAAUGUAUUAAUAAUUAGUUGGUAAUACUUAAAGGGCAAGUGUUAAAAUAUUUUAUAUUGAAGAGUUUGUGAUGUGUGAAUAGAAUGAACCCGUGAGUGUUGAAAUUGUUUAUGCAUAUUCACUACAAAACAAAGACUUGUGAAGGUGUUCUUUGGCAGAUUGUGGGUAGCAUAAAAAGAUUGAACAUUGUGAUGGUUGAUAUGAAUUCUUGUUUUGUUUAUUAGUGGGAACAAAAGGCAUAAAUGUCAAAGCGGUGCAUAUUUUUUGUGAAAUUUUAAUGUUAUGUGGCAUUUGUCAAUUCAUUUUUUUCCAACUGUAGAAGCACAUUGCAUGAUUCAACUUAAGCAAAUCUGCAUAGCACAUGUUGCACUUUGGGACUCUCAACAUUAUUGGGGAUGAGGUUAAAAACCCAUAUUUUUAAUAAAAGAAAAAAUGUAAAUUAAUAAUUUUAUGGUUACUUUCAGUUGUUAACUCAAUUUAUUCAUGUGCCAUAAUUCCAGAGAAAAUGAGAAGUGGUCGUAUAAGAAGACUUGAGAUGAUUCAAAAUGCAUACUCGUCGACCAUAUAACACAUUGGGAAGGACAUAAGUGAUUACAUAAGAAAGAUGACAAUGUUCAAAAUGUGUCUCCUUUGGCCAAAAUUCCCAACUUGAAAAAUAUUUCAUAAAAACAUAAUCUACCAAAAUUUAUAACCCAUCAAUGAAAGGCUCAGUUGACCAGCAAACAAUGCUAGAAAUGCAUUGGACCGAUGAUGUGAACCAGCCAAGUUCUGAGUCAAGGGGUAAGAGAGGUCAACAGAGUUCUAUGACUAGGGUCAAAGCCAAAUCAAGAUUUCUUAAGGUCACAAAGGAUUCAAUUGACCAUGGAGAUUACAUGGAGGAAACACAUUUAUGUCCUUAGGUGAUUAUAGGGUAGUAGUUUUAAUUUUAUUGCAAGAAUAAAUGAGAUUAAUUCUCGUGGGUAUUUUUAGAAAUAUUUUAAAUUAUUAUUAAGUAUUUUAUUUAAAUUAUGUAAUAUGAGGGUUGAGAGUUUAAUUAUUUGUAUCAUGGUCCAUUAGUGACCAAUUAGAUUGAUUAGGCACGACUAAAUCAAUCAAGGCAUCAUGGCUAAAUCAUGAAUUUGGUUCAGCCAUUUCAUAUGAAGACCUUUCAGUUUAAACAAUGGAUCAAGGCAUUCAAGUCAAAGCUCAAGAGGCAUGUAGAAUCAAGGUGGAUGAGGUGUGUGAAAUACUUACCAUAAUGAGGAAGUCAAUUCAAAUCCUUGCCUUAUGGGAUCAAUUCAGAUUGGAAAAGAAUUAAAGGAGUAAAUACUUUGCUUGUUUGAUUUAAACAUGUGUUGGAUGUGUAAUUCAAGGCAUUGAAGACAUGGAUCAUCCAAGAAAGGCAAGUAAUAAAGCCUUUUUUCAUUCAAAAGGGGUGUGUGAAUCCUUGAGCAUCAAUUCAGAUUUUGCAAGUAUCAUAAGGCAAUCAACUUGCUCAAAUUUGAAUUCAAACUCAUGGCAAAAAAUGUGAAGAUCCAAGCAAUUAAAACUUUCAUUUUCAAGCCUUUUCCUUGUGGAAUCCGUCCACAUCAACUCAACCAAGCAAGCCACAUUCAAUUUGCCCAAAACAAAUAAACACAUGGCUGAAUACUUCAAGGAAUUCGACCAAUUCAAAUGUCAAAACAACUCAACCAUUAAACUCUUUUAAUUACCUGUUUAAUUAGGAUUUUAAAUUUCAAAUUAGGACUUGGUCAAUUUCUGAAUUCCUAUUUAUGUACGCUUUUGAUGAUGAAUGAAACAAAUUGAAUUUGAGAUAAAAUCUAAGUGUUUAGUUGAGAAUUUCUCCUACUCUUAUCUUGGUUGUGACAAUCAAUUGGACUUAUCAAGAACCUUAGUUCUUGUGGCAUUCUAAGACUCAUCACCCUUUCUGUGUGGCAUUUACAUUCUUAUCAAGGAAUUAUCCUUGUGGGGAAUACCUUAUUCUUAUCAAGCAUCCUUGCUUGUGACAGACUCCAUUGGCUUAUCAAGCAUCCUUUGUUUGUGGCACUUCACCUUCAUUCUUUCCCAUUUCCCUAAUGCCUCACGCACAUAUCAUUCACACUUUCAUAAUUUCCAACAAAAUGUGUUCAUCAUCGAUUCAAUUCACCAUCAUCCUCAAACAAAAUCACUUCCCUCACAAUUCCAUCCCAACCAAGUGCAAACCUUAUAUAUGUCCUCAAAUACAUCACCAUCUUCAUACAAAUUCCAUCCAUAAACAAAACAGCCUCAAAUACUUCCCUAAACAUACAUAUACCUUCAUCCAAACAGCCCCCAAAUACACCCUAAACAAAUAGAAACCUAGCCUAACUAUUAUUCUCCAAACUGCACCAAACAAUCCCCAAAGCCUUAACACAUAACCUACCAAGACCUCACACAAUUACCAUACACAACCCCAUCCAAAAAUAGCCUAAAAAUCCCACUAACACAAAACCGAAUUUGAGUUUCCAAACUCAGUUUUCAAGCUUAAAACUAUCCAAAACAAAGGCAGCUUCAAAGAGGGUUGCAUCAACCGACCACGAGCAACUCACAAGGUCAAUGGGUCGACAAAUAUGUUUACCAAAACCCAAGAUCAAGAUCAGCCUGUCGAGUUUCAAUAAGGUUCGGAGUAUGAUGUGUAAGAUAACUUAUAAGGGAAGACAAUACUAAAGGGCAAUUAAGGGUCAUACCCUUAUAUAUAGGCUUGCCGAACUGAUAAAUUGGAAGGAAAGGAGCAUAACUUCAGCCAUGACGUCAUUAAAAAUUCAUUCGACGCAAGGUAAGAUUAUCAAACUAUCCCUCUUUAAAUACAAACUUGAGGGUUAGAAUCCCUUUUCAGAUACCUACCAAAAACAGUUCAAGGUCGGUCUUCAACACGAUUCAACAUUGUUCUAGUACUCCAAAACCAAUCUUCAAUCCAAUAUCAUCCCCAAGAUAUCACUGCCUUGUCAUCCCUCAUGAGACUUUAAAGAACAAAUCUAUUAUUUCAAGUGGUUAAGAUCACUUUACCAAAGUAUUUUCGGUACACAUUAACAUAAUUAAACCUUGAUAUCAUACUUUAAAAACUCAGCAUUCAAAAAAUAUGUUGGACAUUGAUGACAAAAUUCUUUUUCUAUGUAUGAACAAAAAGGAGAUAGAUAUUGACUUAUCAAUCACAACCAAUCAUUAUGUAAAAUAUUCAACGACUGUCCUUAAAAUAUCUAAAACUAUUAGAUGAUUAAAAAGGUGAGGCUAUUAACAAGAGUUUAUGUGUCUAUUCACACUACCCAUGAACAAAUUAUUAUUUUAUAAAAAAAAACUACAAUUUUGAUAUGUAAGAAUAUCCCACAAAGAGAAACACACAAACAAUUUUAUAUAUACUCAAUUACCACAAACAUAUCAAAGGAUUUCAACUAAAAGAAAUCUGAAAAAAAUGAGGUAUGGGGAGAAAGUGAAGUAGUGCUCAAGGGAGAGAAUAAUUAAGAAAAGAAUACAUGGUGACUUUAGUGGAACCCUAUAAUUGCUCCAACAACUGUUUGGAUCUUCGAGAAGCUUUUUCUACAUAGAAAUAAAAUGACAGAAUAAGCAAUCUCUCUCACUCAUUUUCAGUUCCUAACUUAGAUUGUUAUGAUAAAUGAAAAAGAUAGGAGCCUUUUUAUUUCCAAUAAUUUUAUUUUAAUGUGAGCAUGAAAUAGAGAAUUAAACUUGAUCUUAGUAACUAUUGAGAUUUGAAAUAUUUGCCCAUCUCAAAUCCAUUUUUGCUAUAGUGAUAAUCUUCAAUAGUUUUGUCUAUCUCAUGUUGUGUAUUCAUCACAAAAGGUCCAUACUGAACAACUGGCUCAUUAAUUGGUUGUCCUCCAAUCAACACAAACCUUAAACCCUUUGAAGAGUUAUUCCAUAUACUAAGGCCAUUACCAUUACUCAAAACUAGAACAUGGUGUGCCAUAUUUGGUGAUGAAUUUGGAGACCCAAAAACUCCUUCUCCUUCAAUUACAUAAACAAAAGAGUUCCAAGAUUCUGGAAUAAUUUGAUGAAACUGAGAUCCAGGUUUCAUUGAGAAAUCAAGGAACAUGGUUGGAGUUGUAGUGUAGACAGGUGAAUGGAUUCCCAUUGCUUCUCCUGCUAUUACUCUCACUUCAACACCAUCUUCUUCUGCUGAUGGAAUCUUCUCAC
rnacentral:lncRNA from 1 species